rnacentral:rRNA from 1 species
UUGCACCUGAUGGCGAGUGGCGAGCGGGUGAGGUAAUGCAUCGGAACGUGCCCAAUCGUAGGGGGAUAACGCAGCGAAAGCUGUGCUAAUACCGCAUACGAUCUACGGAUGAAAAGCGGGGGACCUUUCGGGCCUCGCGCGAUUGGAGCGGCCGAUGUUAGAUUAGGUAGUUGGUGGGGUAAAGGCUCACCAAGCCGACGAUCUAUAGCUGGUCUGAGAGGACGACCAGCCACACUGGAACUGAGACACGGUCCAGACUCC